rnacentral:misc_RNA from 1 species
AAGCCUUCAAGCCUUGCUUGGUGUUGGGCGUUGUCUGCGUGAGUGCGGACUCGCUUCAAAUGCAUUGGCAGCCAGCAAUGGGGUUGUUAGAGCGCAGCACAUUUUGCGUUCCCAGCCACAGGUGCCGGCGUCCACAAAGCUUAUUUCAAC